UACGUAGGGUGCGAGCGUUGUCCGGAAUUACUGGGCGUAAAGAGCUCGUAGGUGGUUUGUCGCGUUGUCCGUGAAAACUCACAACUCAAUUGUGGGCGUGCGGGCGAUACGGGCAGACUGGAGUACUGCAGGGGAGACUGGAAUUCCUGGUGUAGCGGUGGAAUGCGCAGAUAUCAGGAGGAACACCGGUGGCGAAGGCAGGUCUCUGGGCAUUAACUGACGCUGAGGAGCGAAAGCAUGGGGAGCGAACAGG
rnacentral:rRNA from 1 species